GACGAACGCUGGCGGCGUGCUUAACACAUGCAAGUCGAACGGUGAACCAGGGCUUGCCCUGGGGAUCAGUGGCGAACGGGUGAGUAACACGUGGGCAACCUGCCCCCUGACUCUGGGAUAACUCCUCGAAAGAGGUGCUAAUACCGGAUACGACCACUUCGGGCAUCCGAUGGUGGUGGAAAGAAUUUUGGUCAGGGAUGGGCCCGCGGCCUAUCAGCUUGUUGGUGGGGCAACGGCCCACCAAGGCGACGACGGGUAGCCGGCCUGAGAGGGCGACCGGCCACACUGGGACUGAGACACGGCCCAGACUCCUACGGGAGGCAGCAGUGGGGAAUAUUGCGCAAUGGGCGAAAGCCUGACGCAGCGACGCCGCGUGAGGGACGACGGGCCCUUCGGGUUGGUAAACCGUACUUUCUAGCAGGACGAAGCGAAAGUGACGGUACCUGCAGAAGAAGACACCGGCUAACUACGUG
rnacentral:rRNA from 1 species